rnacentral:lncRNA from 1 species
GGCAGCAUUGAUCAAGUUAUGAUCCGAAGUACGAUAUAGUAAAUGCUGUGGUAAAACCAUCUUUCUUCCUGUCAUCAAUUCAAAAGGUGACAAUUUGGUAGUGUAGUAGAUUAUUUUCUGCAAACCAAUUAGUUUGAAUAACUAUCUGUUCCUGUCCAAAUUAAUGAUAAUAAAGUUGCGUGCACGCAGAAGUAAAUUCACACUGAGACACAGAGUUCAGGUUAAUGAAAGAACUUCGGAGAAGUUUAAUGGCUUCUAACAGAAAAUGGGUGCGCAGACCCUUAUAAAGGCAUUUUUACAUCACUGAAGAAUUCAAGAUAACAGCAAAUAAACACUAUUGAUUGGUUCAGGUGUUAAGUGGUUAGUUAGAUGCCCUCCCAUUUAGAGGUGAUGUCAUCCUUGACACGGGAGUUGACACAAGCACGAGGUGUCCACUCGAUGGGAGGGGUGCUUUGGCAGCAAUUUUGAGUAGUUGGCAUUAUUAGUUUCAAGCUUAGUUUUCAAGUUUUUUUUAGUAGAUACACAUUUUAUUAUUCAGCUGACACAUACUUUAUUGAGAUCAACAUGUCGCUCAGCAGCCACAAUGUUUCAUUCUUGAUGAACACAUUGUUCCGCUGACGCACAUUUCUUCCUGACAAAGCAUUCUCUUAUAAAUUCUAUAAUUCUACAACAGUCCCCCCUUAAAAUGUUAGUUACUAAAAAAACAACUUUAUUUGUUAAUACCAGAAGACUUGUUAGCCCAAAGACACAGAAACCCCAUGACCGCUAGCUUGGUGUUAUUGCAAAGUGCAUGUCUACCCCUAUCUGACCCUAACAGGCUGCAGCUCAUCUGUCUUAAUAAGCAUCAAACACUUCACUCCGUGGGUAACCCACAGCGGCUAGUCCACCACAUCUCCGCACGUGAGACUCGCCUGUAGAUACAGAUGCUGUCCCUGCGCUGGUUCCCUUCCUAGAAAAUCUGCACUUUAUCAGUAUAAGGGAGAGUUUGUAGCGAAAUACAGGGUGAGGUGAGAUCUUGAUCAUCGAUUGUCAGAUGAAUGAGAGUUAGUGUCGCUUGGUCUGUAGUCUUCUGUAAGAAUUUUCUAAAGCAUGGGAGGACACAACAAACGAGAAGAGCGAGAACAAAAAGGAAAAUUAGUAGAGCCAUACCAAUAUGGACUAAAGCUUUCUGCCAACCUGACAUCCAACCAAACCACCUUUCCCAGGGAUCUGUUACCCCAGAAUUCCUUUUCAACUCCUCUGAGAGUUUCUCUAACUUCGCUAUGGCCAUAGUGAUUUUACCAUUUGGACCUGUGUUUUCUGGGAUAUAAGUGCAACAAGUCAUGGUGUCAGGUAGUAUUUUACAUACACCCCCCUUUAGCUAGAAUCAUGUCUAAGGCCAUUCUGUUCUGGAAGGUCAUCUGGGAUGUGGCCUGCAACUGCUCGGCCAGGCCCUGGAGGGCAUCCCUGGUGUAGUUGACAAAACGCUGUUGGUUGUAAUAAAUGUAGUUAAUCCAAUUAAGGUUUUUGUUGGCAGUGACUAUAGUAAAAAGUGAUUCAAAACCUACAGCGACUUCAUCUCUAGAUUUAAAUUCAUUAGGCACCCCCCUAGGUACCCCAACGGCAUCUAUGUAAAUGUGGGGGUCAAAACUGCCUUUUACUGGGGUUUCGCGCCUCACUCUGGCUGGUGUAUGUGGAGGGUCGUAUGUGUCAUGAUGAUUAUCAGAAAUAAUAUGAAUGGGCAUGAUAACUUUGGCUAGGGUACACUCACCCCACCACUCAGUUUCCAGCCUAGAUCUUAACUGUAGAUCCCCACAUAACCAGUAAAUAUCCCCCAAUGACCUGGUAUGGUGUUGCAACAGGCGUAUAGGAACAGUUCUGUAGGUGGCACAAUAGCCAUUGGAAAAGUUACCCAUGAAUUUACCAAUCCCGUCAUAGCAUAACAAGUGUAAUUACCCUUGUAAAUCGUGAUUCCAUCUGGGGGUUUGACAUUUCCAAUUAAGAGGGGGUACUCUGCCGCCCAUGAUUCGCAGAGGGAUCUGUUGAAAUUAUAGCGGUAGGCAAAAAGACUGAGGAAGCAAUUCUCUAUCUCCAAAGGGAGAGUUAGAAGAACGGUGCCAAGAUGAGGUCGAGCACCACCGCACACAUAGCAUGCGGUUUUGUUAUGUUUAUUAGCAUUAUAUUUCAUCCACUCUAACCAUAGAUUGAUAUCAUUAUAACCAGUUUCAGUGGCCAUGGUGUCUUCGAAGGUGGGGUUAGCAAUGGCCAUCAUGUCCUUAAAAGACUGGAUAUGUUGUUUCAGUGGAUUUGGGACCAUAUGAACAGCCCCUUGCCACUCUGGAGAGUGGCACAUAUCUUUAAGAUAGAAAUGACCUAAUUUGUUAUAGGAACCACUUUUCCAAUACAUUCCCAUUACA